UUUUGAAAGGGGAAACGAUUGAAGUCAGUCAUGCCGGUGGGAAUCAACUUAGGGGAAACUCUGGGUGCACUUCUUCGCUUGGCAGGUCAACGUCGAUUUUGAAUGUCAUAAAAUAAUUGGGGGAAGGUAGCUCCUUCGGGAGUGUUAUAGCCCUUGAUAGAUGUGAUGUUUGGGGUCGAGGAUUGCAACGGAUACCCUUCGGGGCUAGCCGCCUGAUCUCUAAUUGGUGUUGGGUUACGGACAGCAUGCUGACCGUGAUCUAAUUACUGGUUAAAAGGUUAGAGUGUGCAUAAAUUCGUUAAGGAUGUUGACGUAA
rnacentral:rRNA from 1 species